rnacentral:lncRNA from 1 species
UUGCAUAUACUUCCAGCUUUUUCUAGGUUCCUUGGUUUAACCGUCGGAGCCUUUCAUCUGAAGUUCCAUGCUAGUUCUAUCCGAGGUUCGUUUUUAACUUGCAUUCUUGUUUUGUGAUAGAGUCUAGGUUAUUAGCAAAUCAUUUGCUUCUGUUUUUAUAUAUUGAGCAUCUUGCCUGGAAGCCGUAAGGCGUAAGUUGGGCAUUGAUGGUGUGACAACGGCGUAUUGGUGUAUCUUCUCUGAGAUAUUAUGAUGAGAAUGUUUAGGAUUGUUUUCUGGUUAGGAAGCCAAGGGCACUAGGAGACCAACAGAAAGCAGUUUUCUCGACAACUAUGGACUCAAUUUCUGUUUCCUGAAUCCUGAGUAACAGUUGGUAUUAUUGUUGCAAGCUUUUGGAGGGGAGCUGACACACUACCUGGGCAUUUCAGUUAUGCUCUUCCCCUACCAUUUCUCUUUUCUUGUUGCUGUGUAGCCGCUGAUCAAACACUCUAACUUCUGCGCUAUUCAAGAAAUUGUAUAUUCUGAAGGGUCCUGU